UUCGAAAAAGCUCAAUCAAAAACACCCAUUUCUAAAUUUCUAACACCCAAUUCCCAAAAUUCCCUAACAAAAGAGAAAAAUGGACAUCAGGCUAAUGGGAUUCGACGCACCACUCUUCCAAACUCUCCACCACAUCCUGGACGACUCUGCCACCGCUGACGACAACAAGUCCGCUGCCAAUCACCCCAGCCGCUCCUACGUCCGCGACGCCAAGGCAAUGGCGGCUACACCCGCUGACGUCAAGGAAUACCCCAACUCAUACGCCUUCAUCAUCGAUAUGCCGGGGCUGAAAUCGGGGGAUAUUAAGGUUCAGGUGGAGGACGACAAUGUGCUUGUGAUUAGUGGAGAGAGAAAGCGGGAGGAAGAGAAGGAAGGGGCGAAGUUCGUGAGAAUGGAGAGGAGGAUCGGAAAGUUUAUGAGGAAGUUUGUGCUGCCUGAGAACGCGAAUACUGAAGCAAUUUCCGCCGUUUGUCAGGACGGUGUAUUGACUGUGACAGUGGAGAAAUUGCCACCACCGGAGCCGAAGAUGCCCAAGACUAUUGAAGUCAAAGUUGCUUAAUUGAGUGGUCAGAGGAGAGAUGGUGCUUUUUUUUCUUUUUUCUUUUGUUAAUUGUGCCGUGUUUUAGUGCUAAUAAUGGUUGGAGUUAUGAGUGGGUUAUUGUGAUUUGAGAUUAAUGGGCUUUGUAUGUGAGCAAGUUUAUGAUUUUCUUAUGAAAAGAUUAGCUUGCAAAUGAAUAUGAUUGGCAAAAUUAAUGAUUUUGUCAUCAAAGUUUGGCACGUUUUAUUGAAUAUUCGAUUGAAUUUUU
rnacentral:lncRNA from 1 species